rnacentral:rRNA from 1 species
CCUACGAGUGACAGCAGUGGGGAAUAUUGCACAAUGGGGGAAACCCUGAUGCAGCGACGCCGCGUGAGUGAAGAAGUAAUUCGUUAUGUAAAGCUCUAUCAGCAGGGAAGAAAAUGACGGUACCUGAGUAAGAAGCCCCGGCUAAAUAAGUGCCAGCAGCCGCGGGAAUACGUAGGGGGCAGGCGUUAUCCGGAUUUACUGGGAGAAAAGGGAGCGUAGACGGCAGUGCAAGUCUGGAGUGAAAGGCGGGGGUUCAACCCCCGGACUGCUCUGGAAACUGUACGGCUGGAGUGCAGGAGAGGUAAGUGGAAUUCCGAGUGUAGCGGUGAAAUGCGUAGAUAUUAGGAGGAACACCAGUGGCGAAGGCGGAUUACUGGACUGUAACUGACGUUGAGGCUCGAAAGCGUGGGGAGCAAACAGGAUUAGAUACCCGAGUAGUC